UUCCUAGGUAGUCUGGAUAUUUCGGAUC
rnacentral:sRNA from 1 species